rnacentral:lncRNA from 1 species
CUUCAAUAGUUUGCUCUCAAAUCCUUUUCUUUGAUUUGCAAAAGAAUCCCAAAGUUGCUAUAGGUACUUAAUUUAUGCCUCAGGAUCUGAUUUUAAUACAAGUUGAUAAUUGAUCGUCUUUGGAUAUCAAAUUUUGUCCUUUUGAGUUAAUUUUUUAUUCAAAUCAACUCUUAACUUCUUCUUACAUAUAUUUAUAUUCUUUAUUUUUCUAAUUUAUCUU